rnacentral:rRNA from 1 species
GAUGAACGCUGGCGGCGUGCCUAAUACAUGCAAGUCGAGCGAACAGACGUGAAGCUUGCUUCUCUGAUGUUAGCGGCGGACGGGUGAGUAACACGUGGAUAACCUACCUAUAAGACUGGGAUAACUUCGGGAAACCGUAGCUAAUACCGGAUAAUAUUUUGAACCGCAUGGUUCAAAAGUGAAAGACGGUCUUGCUGUCACUUAUAGAUGGAUCCGCGCUGCAUUAGCUAGUUGGUAAGGUAACGGCUUACCAAGGCAACGAUGCAUAGCCGACCUGAGAGGGUGGUCGGCCACACUGGAACUGAGACGCGGUCCAGACUCCUACGGGAGGCAGCAGUAGGGAAUCUUACGCAAUGGGCGAAAGCCUGACGGAGCAACGGCGAGUGAGUGAUGAAGGUCUUCCGAUCGUGAAACUCUGUUAUUAGGGAAGAACAUAUGUGUAAGUAGCUGAGCACAUAUUGACGGUACCUAAUCAGAAAGCCACGGCUAACUACGUG